rnacentral:rRNA from 1 species
GAUGAACGCUGGCGGCGUGCCUAAUACAUGCAAGUCGAGCGAGCGGACGAGAAGCUUGCUUCUCUGAUGUUAGCGGCGGACGGGUGAGUAACACGUGGAUAACCUACCUAUAAGACUGGGAUAACUUCGGGAAACCGGAGCUAACACCGGAUAAUAUUUUGAACCGCAUGGUUCAAAAGUGAAAGACGGUCUUGCUGUCACUUAUAGAUGGAUCCGCGCUGCAUUAGCUAGUUGGUAAGGUAACGGCUUACCAAGGCAACGAUGCAUAGCCGACCUGAGAGGGUGAUCGGCCACACUGGAACUGAGACACGGUCCAGACUCCUACGGGAGGCAGCAGUAGGGAAUCUUCCGCAAUGGGCGAAAGCCUGACGGAGCAACGCCGCGUGAGUGAUGAAGGUCCUCGGAUCGUAAAACUCUGUUAUUAGGGAAGAACAUAUGUGUAAGUAACUGUGCACAUCUUGACGGUACCUAAUCAGAAAGCCACGGCUAACUACGUG